rnacentral:rRNA from 1 species
UACGUAGGGUCCGAGCGUUGUCCGGAAUUAUUGGGCGUAAAGGGCUCGUAGGCGGUUUGUCGCGUCGGGAGUGAAAACACGGGGCUUAACCCCGUGCCUGCUUCCGAUACGGGCAGACUAGAGGUAUGCAGGGGAGAACGGAAUUCCUGGUGUAGCGGUGAAAUGCGCAGAUAUCGGGAAGAACACCCGUGGCGAAGGCGGUUCUCUGGGACGGUACUGACGCUGAGACGCGAAAGCGUGGGGAGCGAACAGG